GCUGCUCCGUGGUUCAAGUAAUCCAGGAUAGGCUGGAUCCUGGCACUGCGGCCUAUUCUUGAUUACUUGUUUCAGGAGGCGGCU
ensembl:miRNA microRNA 26a-2